rnacentral:snRNA from 1 species
GGCGCGGCGGUCGCUGCA